rnacentral:lncRNA from 1 species
GUUAUUUGACUGGAGUGAGGUCUCAUGUCUGCUUAUGCGGUGGCUCGCUGCUCAGAACAGGGUCUGAUGGACAGGAAAUGGUAAGGUUUCUGAAAACCUAAGGAUCACACAGCGAGUUCCAAAGGCUGAAAGUGCAUACCUGUCGACACUGAUACCAAUGACAUCCAAUGCAGACGUCUCACUCUUGUCGCCCAGGCUGGAGUGUAAUGGCAUGAUCUCGCCUCACUGCAACCUCCACCUCCUGGGUUCAAGCAAUUCUCCUGUCUCAGC